rnacentral:rRNA from 1 species
CAGUAGCCGCGGGAAUACGAAGGGGGCUAGCGUUGCUCGGAAUGACUGGGCGUAAAGGGCGCGUAGGCGGCGAUCAAAGUCAGGCGUGAAAUUCCUGGGCUCAACCUGGGGGCUGCGUUUGAUACUUGAUUGCUAGAGUGGGGAAGAGGGUCGUGGAAUUCCCAGUGUAGAGGUGAAAUUCGUAGAUAUUGGGAAGAACACCGGUGGCGAAGGCGGCGACCUGGUCCUUGACUGACGCUGAGGCGCGAAAGCGUGGGGAGCAAACAGGAUUAGAUACCCCAGUAGUCCCUGUCUCUUAUAU